GACAGAGGGUGCAAACGUUGCUCGGAAUCACUGGGCGUAAAGGGCGUGUAGGCGGGAAGGAAAGUCAGAUGUGAAAUCCCCAGGCUCAACCUGGGAACUGCAUUUGAAACUCCCUUUCUUGGGUACCGGAGAGGAAAGUGGAAUUCCUGGCGUAGAGGUGAAAUUCGUAGAUAUUCGGAAGAACACCAGUGGCGAAGGCGACUGACUGGACAAGUAUUGACGCUGAGGUGCGAAGCGUGGGGAGCAAACAGG
rnacentral:rRNA from 1 species